rnacentral:rRNA from 1 species
GCUAGCGGCAGGCUUAACACAUGCAAGUCGAGGGGUAACAGGGAGAAGCUUGCUUUUCCGCUGACGACCGGCGCACGGGUGCGUAACGCGUAUAGAACCUACCUUUUACAGAGGAAUAGCCCAGAGAAAUUUGGAUUAAUGCCUCAUAGUAUUAUAGAAUGGCAUCAUUUUAUAAUUAAACAUUUAUGGGUAAAAGAUGGCUAUGCGUUCUAUUAGCUAGUUGGUAAGGUAACGGCUUACCAAGGCUACGAUAGAUAGGGGUCCUGAGAGGGAGAUCCCCCACACUGGUACUGAGACACGGACCAGACUCCUACGGGAGGCAGCAGUGAGGAAUAUUGGACAAUGGAGGCAACUCUGAUCCAGCCAUGCCGCGUGCAGGAAGACGGCCCUAUGGGUUGUAAACUGCUUUUAUAUAGGAAGAAACCUUUCCACGUGUGGAAAGCUGACGGUACUAUAAGAAUAAGCACCGGCUAACUCCGUGCCAGCAGCCGCGGUAAUACGGAGGGUGCAAGCGUUAUCCGGAAUCAUUGGGUUUAAAGGGUCCGUAGGCGGACUAAUAAGUCAGGGGUGAAAUCCAACAGCUUAACUGUUGAACUGCCUUUGAUACUGUUAGUCUUGAAUUAUAUGGAAGUAGAUAGAAUGUGUAGUGUAGCGGUGAAAUGCUUAGAGAUUACACAGAAUACCGAUUGCGAAGGCAGUCUACUACGUAU